AUUUCAUUAAGCGGGAACCCAAAAAUCACUUCUAUAGCAGGAAAAAUUAUUUUAGAGGCAAAACACUUAGCCAAAACUUUGUUUUUUCCACGACUCUCACACUUUUAGCCAAACACUAACAAAAGCAAACACUUAGGUCAUUUUUCUCUAAAAAAUCUGAACCUUUGCCGACACCACGAAUCCGGUUUCUGGUCACUAGAAAACCCAAUUCCAGUCAUUCCUCAACCUCCAUCGCCUCGAUUCCCUCGAUUUCCAGUCAUUUCUCAACCUUCGAUGCCUCGAUUUCCCUCUGGUUUCGAAAAGGAAAUCAACCCUUUAGCUGGUGUCGUCUCCGUCGCUGAGUUGGUGUCGUCUCCGUAGCUCUAUUCCACCUCCAAUAUCGAAUAAGAAACCCACGACAACAAGAAUCGAAGCCCUAGAGAAAUCUUUGAGGACCUAACAUGAAUAAAAGCAAGAGAAUCAAUCUCCUUUACAAUCUUCAGGUUGGAUCUUUUUGCUGGGGUGAAGACGACUAAAACCCACAAAACCAAAGCUUAAAGGAGUUUGUCUUGUUUGCAAGUUCCAUUGUUUUUGACUUUGAAAUUCUUGAUUGGUUUAAUACAAGAUUAACUCUCUCCGAUCUCUAUUUCUCAUUCGUUUUCUCUUAGAUUUUAUGAUCCGAUUUUGCAUUUAAUCUUCGUGAGAUCCGAAAUUGUGAAGUUGUGUUAACUUAGAUUUAUAAAUCUUAGAGUUAUGUGGUAACAAUUUUGUGGAUAGAUCUUAUCUAAUUUGCGAGAUAUAUGUUAGUUUGCUAUAUUUAUAAAUCUUAAUGAAUUGCUAAAAAAAUUUACUCUUUGCUAGAUUCUUAUUUGAAUGUGAUAGGUGUUACUGUUUAAGAAGCCACUCCCGUUUCUCUUUUUGAUAUUGUGUCUGUGGUUAAAGCUACUAGUGGUGAGGUUCAUGUAUGUUUUGAUGAGUGAAAAUUUGAAAACCCACUUGAUUUGUGUCUCUGAUACAUGAGAUUUGUGUUUGUUUGCUAUGUCUAAAUCACAGAGAGUUGCUAAAAACUUAGUUUUUGUAAUUGAAUGUGAUAGUUGGCGCUGCUUAAGAAGCCAUUUUAUGUCUCUGUUUGAUCUUGUAUAUGUGGUUAAAGCUAGUGAGCUAAUGAGGUUCUUGUAUGUUUGAUGAGUGAAAAUUUGAAAACCCACUUGAUUUAUGUCUCUGAUUGUGUGGAAUUAGGGAAGAUAGUCACAAAGUUUACAUUUUUUCGUGUGUUUCAUGUUGAUGGUUUUAUAUAGGUUUAUGAUGUGACAAAGUUCUUGGACUGUUUAAGAGAAAACGAAUGAGAAAUAGAGAUCAGAGAGAGUUAAUCAGACUGUUUAAUCUUGUUAAUGUGAAAAGUCAUGGGUUCAUCUGAAAAGGAGUGAACUCAAUUGCUUAUUUUGAGACUGAAGCAUGUUUACUGUUUUUAAGUUUAGCCGGCUAUGUUUGAGAACUUGAUCAGUCUAAGACAUGACUUUCUGUUUUGUUUAUGACUUAGUGAUGUAUGUUUACAUGUUCUCUCUUAUUGUUCAUGAUUUAAAUAUGUACACUUUGUAUGCUUUGGAUCUUAAAUGGAAAAGCAUUGGUCUUUAUGA